rnacentral:rRNA from 1 species
CCUACGGGAGGCAGCAGUGAGGAAUAUUGGUCAAUGGACGAGAGUCUGAACCAGCCAAGUAGCGUGAAGGAUGACUGCCCUAUGGGUUGUAAACUUCUUUUAUAUGGGAAUAAAAUGUUCCACGUGUGGGAUUUUGUAUGUAACAUAUGAAUAAGGAUCGGCUAACUCCGUGCCAGCAGCCGCGGUAAUACGGAGGAUCCGAGCUGUAUCUGGAUUUAUUGGGUUUAAAGGGAGAGUAGGUGGAUUGUUAAGUCAGUUGUGAAAGUUUGCGGCUCAACCGUAAAAUUGCAGUUGAAACUGGCAGUCUUGAGUACAGUAGAGGUGGGCGGAAUUCGUGGUGUAGCGGUGAAAUGCUUAGAUAUCACGAAGAACUCCGAUUGCGAAGGCAGUUCACUGGACUGCAACUGACACUGAGGCUCGAAAGUGUGGGUAUCAAACAGGAUUAGAUACCCUUGUAGUC